GAAGCCUUUCGGGGUGGAUUAGUGGCGAACGGGUGAGUAACACGUGGGCAAUCUGCCCUUCACUCUGGGACAAGCCCUGGAAACGGGGUCUAAUACCGGAUAACACUCUGUCCUGCAUGGGACGGGGUUAAAAGCUCCGGCGGUGAAGGAUGAGCCCGCGGCCUAUCAGCUUGUUGGUGGGGUAAUGGCCUACCAAGGCGACGACGGGUAGCCGGCCUGAGAGGGCGACCGGCCACACUGGGACUGAGACACGGCCCAGACUCCUACGGGAGGCAGCAGUGGGGAAUAUUGCACAAUGGGCGAAAGCCUGAUGCAGCGACGCCGCGUGAGGGAUGACGGCCUUCGGGUUGUAAACCUCUUUCAGCAGGGAAGAAGCGAAAGUGACGGUACCUGCAGAAGAAGCGCCGGCUAACUACGUGCCAGCAGCCGCGGUAAUACGUAGGGCGCAAGCGUUGUCCGGAAUUAUUGGGCGUAAAGAGCUCGUAGGCGGCUUGUCACGUCGGAUGUGAAAGCCCGGGGCUUAACCCCGGGUCUGCAUUCGAUACGGGCUAGCUAGAGUGUGGUAGGGGAGAUCGGAAUUCCUGGUGUAGCGGUGAAAUGCGCAGAUAUC
rnacentral:rRNA from 1 species